UCUCAAACUUGGCAAAUUUUAGAGAAACAUACCAUACAGUAUGGGGGACCAGCGUAAGAGCUCAGUAGGCCUGUAUGAGUUGAGCAACUUUGCUUUAGCACUUACUAAAAUACUUGCAUGCCCGAGAGACUGAUGAAUCCAACACAGAUUGAAACGAACAUGGAAGCCUGAAGUUAGGCCUCAUCUCAAACACAGCAAACUAUAGACUUAGACGGCUAAGACAGAGCAAAUGAUUUCCCAUUGCGCUGCUUGAUCUCAGGAAAAGCUUCUUGUGGUGGUUAUUUAUAAUUCUUUUCUGGCUUCUCCGUGAACAAAACCCCUUUGAAGAAUUCCCACCACCUUGUGAGAUUUAGUGGGAAGCAGAAUGUCGCACUAGGGAGGGGGAAGGUGCCCGUGUGGGUUCUGCCAGCCACUCGGAGAGCCGGGAGCAGGCAUGGGACCCGGCCUCACUGGUUUGGAUUCAGAAGGCAGAGACCCCAGAAGCCCGGAUACAAAGACUCCAUUCCGCUGUGGGAGGCUGCGGCAGACGUGGUGGUAGAGCGAAGCCAUGGCGUCUGGCCGCCGGCACCGAGGCCGGUACUGGUGCAGGCGCCGGUCCGUGCCAAAGAGCAUUGGGGUUCUCGCAGAACCACCCGGAAGUGUGCUUGGGGGCCAUGUACCAAGAGUGCAGCCUCAAGCAGGCUCAUUUUUUUUUCCCCAGAGAGCAGCCUGUUAGGAAUUCUUCAGCUGUGCUGCCGAGAGCACUGACAGAUACAGCGCAGGUUUGAGUACAUCCUGUUUUAAGUCCCCAGUGUCUUUAAGCUCCUCGUGUUGCUGUGAUUUGACUGUGAGAAGGCGGCCCCUGCCAAGACAUCAUAAAGCCAUGCUUUUCCAAGGCUCGGCACUUGUCAUAAUUGUCCACAGUGCAGAGAAGGCACUGAAAAACACUGUGCACUUGAUGGUGGUGCCUAAGAUAACACAACUCUGAUCUACUCAAAAUCUGAUACUGUGUCUGACUUCCAUUGUGUGCCAACAUCAUAUUUCUACUUUAAAGGCUAUCACGGGAGAACAAGAAGUUACAUACACUUCCAAGCGAGACAAACCUGCCAAUUGGCAGAAGCCAGAACCAAUUAACGGCAAGGAAAACAAGUUCUCCAAGAUCUUUCUAGACCGGGGACACGUUUAAAACAUCCUCCUCAUCAGACUCCACACCAGAUCUGCUGAACUGGAAGCCUUGGUGGCUGGGCCCAGGCCUGGGGAUUUUAAAAUUCUCAAAGUGCUGGCACUGUGCAGCCACGAUUGUGACCUUUGCCCUCCAAGCUCAGGGUGUGGUUUCACUAUCCUGUGCACAAAGAGGUUUCUCUGGCCUGCUGAUAUCUUGCUGGGGAUGCUUAUCUGUGUGAAAACCCAAAGAGCCAAAUUUUCACCACAUCACAUAUAUGAGAUGGAUUUUUCCACUUUCUGCAUAAAUGUUGCAUUGAAAGAACAGAAUCUGCUCAUGGGGAAGAGGAAAUAAAAAAGAAACUGAACCCAAACUGGACUCUCAGAUGUGAUGAACUGGGAUGAAGUCUCGUCCAUUCUGAGCUGAUGCACUUUGCAUCUGUGGUUCAUCGGGAUAGAUGAGUGUUCUGUUCAGUGAAGACUGUUCCUUCGUCCGCACAGCCGCCCCCGUUCAGCUCCCUGCACUGAGCGCUUCUUUCUCAGUUGGCCUAACUUGCCCUGGGAAGGACCAUGCGAAGGUGAUGUCCUCAUUCUUGGCUGGGGGAAGUUUAAGCAGUGUUCUUUUUUUGUUACAAAAAUAGGGAAAAGUUCAUUUUCUUUUAAAAAUGUGAUUUCUUUUUUUUUGCUGGAUAACAAUUGCAUUAUCAGUCAGAUACAAAGGUACAUCUCCUAUUUGAUAUUGGUUUUAUAUUAGGAAGCCUCCUCCACCGAAUUAAACUUCUUCAGAUUCAUUUGUUUUUAAUGCCAUGGGUUGUUUUGGCUUGUAGGCUGGACUAAAUACACAAUUAGAUAAUUUCGUGGUAGCACAUUUCCAAACUCUUAAAAGAUUUAUGAAAAUGUCAGGCUUUUAGGUUUCAAAAUAAAUUAUAGGAGGAAGUCACCAAAAUUUUAUUUUUAACUGUAUGCCAAGAAAAUAAACUCAGUCAUUUCAUGGCAAUCUUAAUAAAAUGACUAAAUUUCACAAGUAUACAAUUUGGAGUGAAAAUGUGAAUUUUACCAACAGCUUAAACAAGAUGAACAAAUUGCCCUGGCCAUGAAAAUGUCCUCUUUGGUGUUUUGGGUUUUUUGUCUGUGUUGGCAUCUAUGAAAUCAAAUGUUUUCAGGUCACUGGUGAAAAAUAGAAGCAUUAAAUUGGGGGGAAAGAAUUGAGUUAGUCCAAAAUGAGUCUUGAUUAACUUGAAAAAAUAUGUUAACCCUUAUAAUCCAUCCCCACUGGGGACUGCAUGACUGGGAUUUGGAAGGCAUUUUAAAUCGAUAAAGGCAUUCCAUUCCAUUGAGAAGCACUUGUCUGACCCCCAAAAAGUUGUUUUGCGAUAAGAUUUUAUAAACUUUUUUCCUUUGAUAGGAGAAAUAAAACAUCAAAAUCUUACAUAAGAGAUGAUUAAAUAAGAAACAGUUAUCUAAGUCUUUUGUGUGGAAUUAGUGGUUAGAUUUUUGUCUUUGUCAUGUCCCACGAAUAAACAUGAGGAUCACAUAAGAAUUUUGACCCCAAUAUAAUCUAAAAGGAAAAGGAAUUGAUUCAAAUUACUCUUCUGCUGAAAGUAAGUUGCCCUAAAUAAAGGUCAAAAUCUUGAGGAUUUUUAUGCAUGUAAAACCUCUUAAAGUAAAAUCAUGUGUUGCAUUAAAUUAAAUAUGUGCUAUUUUGAUCUUUUUUUUACAUUUGUGAAUAUACUGAAAGGUUUAUCAUUAAGUAUAAUAAGUGCAAUAAAUGUUACAUCAUUUUUCAUGGAAGACAUUGUGGAGAAAGUUGAGUCCAAAUAGUGUAAUAAUAAAUCAAAAUGAAUAACAAAUACUAAAUAAAUCUUAUAUAUGUAAUCUAGAUCCAGACUGAUGUAUAAGAGGAAAAUUGUAGAGACAGUGCAAUUGGACCAUGGAAAUCAUUUUUAGAGAAUCAAGUUCACAGCUGGCUCUCUGGAGUUGGGCCAUACUUUAUUAUCUGAGAAUGUUCUUUCCUUCUUUCAUCAAAUUUCGCAAAUGUAUUGCAACAUUUCAUCUGUCAAUCCUAAUACUGAAAGGCCAUCUAUGCCUGGCAAUUGCCCAUUUUCUGCCUUAUAAGUAAAAUCAUGUGAGUGGGCAAAAAUCUCUGCCAGUAGAACCCAGACCAUGUGGAAAAUGAUAGUGCAGCCCGUCACUAAUAGCUCAUACAAAGGAAGGGUCGUGUGCGUUAGGGGAAGUGUCUUGUAGGACACCCAGCUCUGGUAACACCUGUCAAUAUGUACACUUAAGUUUAAUCAGUAACUAGAACAUUAUUCAGAAUGAUCUAGACAGAAGCCUGUUUCUGUAAUUGAAAAGUGUGCAAGUCCUCCUUUCUGGGACAAUGUGAUUCAACUGGCUCUCACUGUUUUAUUAAAUGGCUUGUUUAAGAUCAGGUAUGGAUUUGCCUUUACAGAGCUACUGAUAUCUUUAUAGAUUGGACAAAAUCCAGGAAAAGGAGACAAAUUAAAGAAAAACAACACAGAGCUAUGACGUUCAGGGAGUUAAAAUUGACUGGUAAAAUAAAAAAUGACAAUAAUGCGGUGGGGUGGCCCUGGGUCCGGUGUCUUGUCUCCUCCACAUGAGAAAGGAUUCAAGGAAGAGCUACACAGGUAAGGGUGAGGGAGAGGCAAGAUUUAUUUAAAGUGAACGUAUCCACUCAGGAAUGAGUGUGGGAGAGCUUGUGAGAAAAUAAGCUGCAAUCAACAAGGUUCAGCCCCUCCUUUUUUUUUUUUUUUUUUUUUAAGAUUUAUUUAUUUGAAAGAGUUACAGGGGCUGGCACUAUGGCGUAGCUGGUAAAGCCGCCACCUGCUGUGUUGGCAUCCCACAGAGGUGCCAGUUCUAGUCCCUGCUCCUCCACUUCCAAUCCAGCUCUCUGUUAUGGCCUGGGAAAGCAGUAGAAGAUGGCCCAAGUCCUUGGGCCCCUGCACCCACGUGGGAGACCCAGAAAAAGCUCCUGGCUUCAGAGUGGCUCAGCUCUGG